rnacentral:rRNA from 1 species
UGGGGAAUUUUGGACAAUGGGCGAAAGCCUGAUCCAGCAAUGCCGCGUGUGUGAAGAAGGCCUUCGGGUUGUAAAGCACUUUUGUCCGGAAAGAAAUCCUUGGCUCUAAUACAGUCGGGGGAUGACGGUACCGGUGAAGAAUAAGCACCGGCUAACUACGUGCCAGCAGCCGCGGUAAUACGUAGGGUGCAAGCGUUAAUCGGAAUUACUGGGCGUAAAGCGUGCGCAGGCGGUUUGCUAAGACCGAUGUGAAAUCCCCGGGCUCAACCUGGGAACUGCAUUGGUGACUGGCAGGCUAGAGUAUGGCAGAGGGGGGUAGAAUUCCACGUGUAGCAGUGAAAUGCGUAGAGAUGUGGAGGAAUACCGAUGGCGAAGGCAGCCCCCUGGGCAAUACUGACGCUCAUGCACGAAAGCGUGGGGAGCAAACAGGAUUAGAUACCCUGGUAGUCCACGCCCUAAACGAUGUCAACUAGUUGUUGGGGAUUCAUUUCUUAGUAACGUAGCUAACGCGUGAAGUUGACCGCCUGGGGAGUACGGUCGCAAGAUUAAAACUUAAAUGAAUUGACGGGGUCAUAGCUGUUUCCU